rnacentral:lncRNA from 1 species
UUGGAGAAACUACCGAUCGAGUUACGGAGCUCUUCUUCCCCUUUCUCGAGUGUGGGUGCAGUCACGAGGACACCCUUAUUCCUAUCUCGUCGAGUGGAUUCAACUAGUCUUCGGAUGGAUGGAGCAAUUGUGGAUGCCUGGCUGAAUUUCCCAGGCUUAAAGAUUUGGAGCUUGAGCCAGUCAUCAUAACCACAAGAUAUUAUGCAAGUUUUGCUUGUGCUGGACCUGUCAUCACCAACAAUAUCAAUGUCAUCCUUUGGAUAAACAGCAUCCCUCUUGAUUGGAGAAACUACCGAUCGAGUUACGGAGCUCUCCUUCACUUUUCUUGAGUGUGGGUGCAGUCACGAGGACACCCUUAUUCCUAUCUCGUCGAGUGGAUUCAACUAGUCUUCGGAUGGAUGGGGCACUUGUGGAUGCCUGGCUGAAUUUCCCAGGCUUAAAGACCCACCGCUUCCAGCAGGCCGUGACCAAGUGCUUUGAACCGGGACCACCACCGACCAUCAUCAGCCCCAUUCGGCUGUUGCCUACCACUCGUCUCGGACUUGACCUCCUCCGGUGUCGAGUUGUUCUCCAUCGCGACGGGUAACUUUUGUUUCGGGCAGCGGGGACGAAGGAGAAGAAACAAAACAAGGAAAUAAAAGGCAACACGAAACUUUUAUUCAUGAAGUGUAAAUAAAGAGGCAGGUGACUGUAGACUACUAGAGCCCUACGUUCUACCCUACCUACUUGUUUUCUGGUUGGGAAUUGAAAUGGCGACUAGCCAUCGUCCGUCCGUUUGAGUAGUAAUAAAGAGUCAAGUCAACGAUAGGACGACGUCGCCCCGACAAGUCGUUAAAGGCGCAGGCCGCAAAUUACCAUAAUGUGAAACUGAAUUGGAUAAGAAAAGUUUCCGCUUAAGUAAUGGACUCUUAGCGUUCAAAAAUUGAUGGCUUUCCACUUGUAACCAGGUAGAGUGGCAUGGCCAUCGCAUGCAAAUGAGGAAAGCCUAUCGCACCGGCGGCUCUCUUUUUCUUUUUUUCUUUCACGUUGGAUCUCUCGCCAUGUUUUGAAUAUGUUUAUAUUCUUCCUACAGAUCCACUAAAUGCUGAUUACCGCUUCGGUUGGUUAUUGGUUGUCGAUGUUUAUUGCUAUACGUACUAUUAUACUCGCCUACGACCAUUAGAUGUAUCAUCAUAAAGAUUUGUAUUUACAGCUCUUCUGUUUUCCAUGCGUUACUUUUUUUUAUAGAAGGCAACGGCUAACCUUGAAUUAUUAAAAACGCUAUUUUUCAUUUUUUUUUUUUCAUUUCACUACCAGCAACGCCACCUAGCUGUUGCAAUUGCAUUAGACAAAAUAAUUGCCAUCUGUUAUCGUUUAGAGUUAACUUAGUGCAAGCAAUGGAAUAAGGUCGUUGCAUGAAGGUUGAAGGGGAUUUCGGUUUUGGUUAAAAAAAUCGUGUAAAAAUAAAUAAAAAAUUUCAUGUGAAAAAUUCAAAUUAAUGUAUGUUAUUGUGACAUCUCUUGUUUUUUGUAUUUGUCGCGUAAGUCCUCUCAUUAUAAGAAGACCUUGUUUUGUUGUGAAUGUCAAGAAUGCCGCUCUAUGCCAUGCAAGUUGAUCAGCGUCUAGAACUGUUAUUGUACGCGUCGAAUUGGAAUCAAAGUGCUCCUUUAGCCUAACUGUUUCAAUACAUUCAUUUUUGUUU